AGGCAGCCGAAUCAUACGUAUUAUGUCAUGCUGCAUGUUGAUGGUAAUCCUGAAAUUGAUGAGCCUGUAGGCAAAUUCGUUGCCAGCUCCCGAUACAGUAAAUUCAUGUUUAGGCUCAUCUUCCUCUUCAGCGAACAGCGGUGGAUUGGCUUGGUCGGGGAGAGGAGGCAUCAACCUUGUUGGGGUUUUUAUUUUAAGAAGCAUGCUUCGUGACGACUAUUUGCUUCAGUCUCUUCGCGAAAGUGGCUUUGUUCUAUUUGCCGCCAAAGCUCUACCCUUUUACAUGUUCGUUACCAAACAAGGUCAAAUCACGCGUUCCUCAGUGGUCUGAAAUGAGUACACAGCCUCUUUCUUUGCUAUUCCAGCCUUUGUGUGGUUCCUGUUGCCUAGACUAAAUGGAGGUAUAGAACAACUAAAUUGUUCCAGGUUGAGUUGGGUGUCUGUCUUGGAAAGGGCAGGGAUCCAGCUUGGCCAAAGGUAAUGUAGCAGUGUCUCUUCUCCCUGUUGUGAAAUGUAUGGCCACAUCACCUCAUCUUCUUCUUUUAUUGUCUGAUGUUAGGUGUUUGUACAUGCACCUUAUUAAUGUUUAGCUCAUGUAGUUGCUGGUAAUAAGAGGACAAAGUUGCAUUUGAUACUA